AAAACGACUCUCGGCAACGGAUAUCUCGGCUCUCGCAUCGAUGAAGAACGUAGCGAAAUGCGAUACUUGGUGUGAAUUGCAGAAUCCCGUGAACCAUCGAGUCUUUGAACGCAAGUUGCGCCUGAAGCCAUCAGGUUGAGGGCACGUCUGCCUGGGCGUCAAAC
rnacentral:rRNA from 2 species